CAGCAGCCGCGGGAAUACGUAGGGUGCAAGCGUUAAUCGGAAUUACUGGGCGUAAAGCGUGCGCAGGCGGUUAUAUAAGACAGAUGUGAAAUCCCCGGGCUUAACCUGGGAACUGCAUUUGAAACUGGCAAGCUAGAGUCUUGUAGAGGGGGGUAGAAUUCCAGGUGUAGCGGUGAAAUGCGUAGAGAUCUGGAGGAAUACCGGUGGCGAAGGCGGCCCCCUGGACAAAGACUGACGCUCAGGUGCGAAAGCGUGGGGAGCAAACAGGAUUAGAUACCCCGGUAGUCCCUGUCUCUUAUAC
rnacentral:rRNA from 1 species